GAGUCUGACGGAGCACGCCGCGUGAGUGAUGAAGGUUUUCGGAUCGUAAAGCUCUGUUGUUAGGGAAGAACAAGUACGAGAGUAACUGCUCGUACCUUGACGGUACCUAACCAGAAAGCCACGGCUAACUACGUGCCAGCAGCCGCGGUAAUACGUAGGUGGCAAGCGUUGUCCGGAAUUAUUGGGCGUAAAGGGCUCGCAGGCGGUUUCUUAAGUCUGAUGUGAAAGCCCCCGGCUCAACCGGGGAAGGUCAUUGGAAACUGGGGAACUUGAGUGCAGAAGAGGAGAGUGGAAUUCCACGUGUAGCGGUGAAAUGCGUAGAGAUGUGGAGGAACACCAGUGGCGAAGGCGACUCUCUGGUCUGUAACUGACGCUGAGGAGCGAAAGCGUGGGGAGCGAACAGGAUUAGAUACCCUGGUAGUCCACGCCGUAAACGAUGAGUGCUAAGUGUUAGGGGGUUUCCGCCCCUUANUGCUGCAGCUAACGCAUUAAGCACUCCGCCUGGGGAGUACGGUCGCAAGACUGAAACUCAAAGGAAUUGACGGGGGCCCGCACAAGCGGUGGAGCAUGUGGUUUAAUUCGAAGCAAACGCGAAGAACCCUUACCAGGUCUUGACAUCCUCUGGACAACCCUAGAAAU
rnacentral:rRNA from 1 species